CUUCACCACUUUGCCCUUCCUAAACCCUGUAGACACUUUUGCUCUCGCCAUUCUCACUCGCGACAGUCCUCGCCUUCACCACUCUAACUGGUGACGGUGCUCAAUCUCAGCGUCAUCACUCGCAACGCAACAACCUGAAGGCCACCCACUUGCAAGAGGUUACUGAUGCCAUCGCAAGCCGCUGCCCCAAUGCCUCCAUCCAAUGCUGCCACAAAAUGGAGAAGCUCCGCAAGCGCUACCGCACCGAGAUCCAACACAUUCGCUCCUUCCACGUUUCGCGAUUCAACUCCUCCUUGGUCCACUUCAAGCUCAUGGACUCCAUGGAGAAAGGUCCCUCCCCUGUUAAACCCGAAAACGAUUCCGAUAAUAGUGAUAACGAUAAUGAGGAUGAUGACGAUGAUCGAGAUCUGUACCAGGAGAUCAACCACAACGGCCACAUCAGGAGCUUGAACAAUAUGUAUUCCCCCUUUUCUAUUACUCUUUAUUUUCACCUUUUUAAUUCUUGAAACGAACAGAAAUUACGAAGAAUCACCAGAUGAGAAAGAAAUACACGGUCCAGCUUGGCGAGAAUGAGCUUGUCCUUAAGGAACUGGAUUUAUUGAAAGACGAUGCAAAUGAUUUGACAGUUGAUUGGGCCAGUACUUGUUAAGCAAGAUUUGGCCAAAGUCAAUGCAAAUGUCUGCAAGAGAAUCGAAUACAUCUAAGCCGAAUUGCAAGUGCAUCAUUGAAAUUUACUGUAUUGAAUCCAAAAGGACAUAUAUGGACAAUGGUAGCAGGAGGUGGUGCGAGUGCAACUUAUGUUGAUACUGUUGGAGAUUUAGGCUAUGCAUCAGAGCCUGGCAACUAUGCUGAAUAUAGUGGAGCUCCGAAUGAGGAGGAGGUGUUGCAAUAUGCAAGAGUUGUAAUUGAUGUGAUCAUAUAUAGGAACAAUCUUGUUAAACUACUAGCCAAACCAAACACAUGACUUGGAAAUAGGUACCUACAAUCAAUCAAUCAAGAGACUAGGAUAACCGGAUCUGCGCCAACUGAGAUUCUUAUGAAAACUAAGUCCGGCAAAGUCAUAAGACCAAAUGCGAAAAAUAAAAACAAGGUCUACUUCGGUCAGAAUUUGGUAUGGAACUGGAUGGAUUCUUCUAUUAAAGGGAGUGGCAAAACCAUUAAUGUUGGAGAUCCUGUUUAUAUUCUUGGAAACGUCUCUUCUACAGAAGAAGCUGCUGCUUGAUCUAUGUAUGUAGAAUAUGCAGGAUUCCAAUACCAGCAAUCAAAAUGUACGGCGGGGACGAUGGCAAAGUCGAUGUCUGACAGCAGGGGCACUCGCUGGUGGCGCAGCAUGGACGGAGGGACGAACGACGGCCUCUUGACGUUGCGAGGAAGCAAAAUGCAGAAGUGAAGAAGAGGAUGAACAGUAGCAGAACACGUGAGGAAGAGGGAGAGGGAGAGAGACAGGUUUUUAAAAUUUUAAGUGAAGGGCAUUUUUGCCACUUCACUUAAAAUGUUGGGUGCACCAGCAAGGUGCACAGAAAAACCCUUGUGUCCGGAGACAGGAAAGAGUAGCUCAGAUCCAACAAAAGAUAUGUUUCGUAAUAGUGCUAAAGCCCAACCUGCUAACAGGGUUUUGCCUUUUUACGCAACACUAAAAAAAAAAGUCAAAACAAUGCUACGAGUUGCACCUCUCUGAUCAUAACAAGGAACUGCACCAACAUAGAGAUUAGCUCACCAUUCAAGUUCACGAAUUUUUCGAAAGUCAAGGCAUGUCACACUUUUUUGAAACCAUAAUUUCAAAUCAACAGAAGAGAAAGUACACGACAAUUCCAAUGCUACUUAUUCAUGGUUCAUAUGAUUAAUAAUGAACUACAUUAAAAUCAACUUA